rnacentral:rRNA from 1 species
GGACUACUGGGGUUUCUAAUCCCGUUUGCUCCCCUGGCUUUCGCGCCUCAGCGUCAGUAGAGAUCCAGCGCGCCGCUUUCGCCACCGGUGUUCCUUCCGAUAUCUACGCAUUUCACCGCUCCACCGGAAGUUCCGCACGCCCCUAUCUCCCUCGAGACGGCCAGUAUCAGGGGCACUUCCACGGUUGAGCCGUGGGCUUUCACCUCUGACUUGACCACCCGCCUACGCGCCCUUUAAGCCCAGUGAUUCCGAACAACGUUUGCACGGUUCGUCUUACCGCGGCUGCUGGCAC